CAGCCGCCGCGGUAAUACGAGGGGAGCUAGCGUUGUUCGGAAUUACUGGGCGUAAAGCGCGCGUAGGCGGCUUUUUAAGUCAGAGGUGAAAGCCCGGGGCUCAACCCCGGAAUUGCCUUUGAAACUGGAAAGCUAGAAUCUUGGAGAGGUCAGUGGAAUUCCGAGUGUAGAGGUGAAAUUCGUAGAUAUUCGGAAGAACACCAGUGGCGAAGGCGACUGACUGGACAAGUAUUGACGCUGAGGUGCGAAAGCGUGGGGAGCAAACGGGAUUAGAGACCCGCGUAGUCCCUGUCUCUUAUAC
rnacentral:rRNA from 1 species